rnacentral:rRNA from 1 species
GAUGAACGCUGGCGGCGUGCCUAAUACAUGCAAGUCGAGCGAACAGAUGAGGAGCUUGCUCCUCUGACGUUAGCGGCGGACGGGUGAGUAACACGUGGAUAACCUACCUAUAAGACUGGGAUAACUUCGGGAAACCGGAGCUAAUACCGGAUAAUAUAUUGAACCGCAUGGUUCAAUAGUGAAAGACGGUUUUGCUGUCACUGAUAGAUGGAUCCGCGCCGCAUUAGCUAGUUGGUAAGGUAACGGCUUACCAAGGCGACGAUGCGUAGCCGACCUGAGAGGGUGAUCGGCCACACUGGAACUGAGACACGGUCCAGACUCCUACGGGAGGCAGCAGUAGGGAAUCUUCCGCAAUGGGCGAAAGCCUGACGGAGCAACGCCGCGUGAGUGAUGAAGGUCUUCGGAUCGUAAAGCUCUGUUAUUAGGGAAGAACAAAUGUGUAAGUAACUAUGCACGUCUUGACGGUACCUGAUCAGAAAGCCACGGCUAACUACGUG